UCUGUGCUGACUUCAUUCUCAAUGGCCUCUGCAGUUUUUGAGGAUGCAGGUUAGAUUCUCAGCAGCAACAUGGCGGCUCACACCUGUCUGUAACUCCAGCUCUAACGCCAAAGGAGGCUACAAGCGCAGAAAAAAAUAUGGCAAACAGAGAUGGCUCAGUCAGUAAAGUUGUGAGACCUUUCUGGAAUGUGAACUCUGCUGCCAAUGAGCGUGGGAGAGAAGAGAUAUCAUAGACUGAAGCCAGGAUGGCUCCAGAAAGGCUUCGAUCCCAGGUCUAAUUUGCAUUCUUAUAUUAUACUCUAAAUCCACAAGGUGAGGCUGGCAAGUAAGUGAGAUUUUACAGUGGCCUGUGAGUCAUCAGGUUAAGGACAAGGACCCAUUGUUUCAGCUAUGUCUCCAGGUCAUUCUGGAUAGCAAGUGAAGUUGUGCUUAGCAACUAGGCAGUACAGCCAGUGCUUCAAGUGAAAUC
rnacentral:lncRNA from 1 species